UAACUCAACUCUCUUUGUUUCGCAGCUAUAGUUUAUCAGGCAAUCAGACUCCAGGACCCUCUCAAUCUUAGACGCUUCGACCGCAACCCCAGGUAGGAUUACCUGCUGAGUUUAACCAUAUAAAUAACCAGAGGAAAAGAAACUUACAAGGAUUCACAUAGAAUCUGCAAGCGAACUGGGAAUACCCCAGCUUUAGAAUUGGGCGGCUCCGUCAUUUGAAUUGUAGUCUGGAGAAGCAUCCUCAGCGGCAGACCGGGCCCAAUUCCCCCAAAGGGGGGUACCAGAUAGGUGAUAUGCCCAUUGGGCCCGGACCCUAUGGAACCGUGAGGCACUAUCUAUGAGUUAGGUUGUUUGGGAAUGCAACAUAAAUCGGGCGGUGAAUUUUAUCCAAGGCAAAAUACGGGCGAGAGAUCGAUAGGAAACAAGAAUCGUGAAGGAAAGAUGAAAGGGACUUUGAAAAGAGAGUCAAAGAGUGCUUGAAA
rnacentral:ncRNA from 1 species